CGGAUGAGGCAUGAGUGGCACUAAUCAGCCGGGGUGUGUCCGCUGCAGUGGCAUCGACCCCGGUCCGAACCCAACCUGGAGACACCACAGCACAGGGGCCAUCUGACUCCAC